AGAGUUUGAUCCUGGCUCAGGAUGAACGCUAGCGGCAGGCUUAAUACAUGCAAGUCGAGGGGCAGCAUGACUGUAGCAAUACAGUUGAUGGCGACCGGCAAACGGGUGCGGAACACGUACACAACCUUCCUUUAAGUGGGGAAUAGCCCAGAGAAAUUUGGAUUAAUACCCCGUAAUAUUAUGAUGUGGCAUCACAUUAUAAUUAUAGCUCAGGCGCUUAAUGACGGGUGUGCGGCUGAUUAGAUAGUUGGCGGGGUAACGGCCCACUAAGUCUUCCGAUCAGUAACUGGUGUGAGAGCACGACCAGUCACACGGGCACUGAGACACGGGCCCGACUCCUACGGGAGGCAGCAGUAAGGAAUAUUGGUCAAUGGACGCAAGUCUGAACCAGCCAUGCCGCGUGGAGGAUGAAGGCCCUCUGGGUUGUAAACUUCUUUUAUCUGGGACGAAAAAGGGCCUUUCUAGGUCAACUGACGGUACCAGAGGAAUAAGCACCGGCUAACUCCGUGCCAGCAGCCGCGGUAAUACGGAGGGUGCAAGCGUUAUCCGGAUUCACUGGGUUUAAAGGGUGCGUAGGUGGGUCUGUAAGUCCGUGGUGAAAUCUCCGAGCUUAACUUGGGAAACUGCCAUGGAUACUAUAGGUCUUGAAUAUUGUGGAGGUCAGCGGAAUAUGUCAUGUAGCGGUGAAAUGUNUAGAUAUGACAUAGAACACCA
rnacentral:rRNA from 1 species